ensembl:lncRNA
UGAGUCUCUGCUUCUGAGCUGCUUCACUCUUACUUUGGUUGAGUUUGCAGAGCUGCCUCCCUCUCGUGCAUUGCUGGUCGCCUUCUUCUGAUGCUAGGUGGAACCUGAAAGUCAGAAUGAAAUGAGCUGCUUUCACUUUGGUGUGUUCAUCCUUCUCAGGAAUGUUAGGUAGUGGUGGGCGGAUCGAUCCAAAUAUCGAUAGUAUCGAUACCAAGUCGGCAUCGGUAUCGGAUCGAUACUAGCCUGGAGACAUGUUUAUCUUGUCACAAAGAACAAGUUUUAUUACACCGCUAUUAUCGCGAGGUUUGGGGCGUGACAAUAUAGACUGUGAGCCCACGUUGAUAAUCACGCUAAGGAGUUCAGCGAGCUAUCUGCAAAGGCCUGGUUAGUCUACCAGCUGUACAAGAAGGCACAAGACUGUAAAGAUAUUCUUCUAGAACCUCCGAAGUGGCAGGCGGCCACGAGUUUUCACGGCGUUCAAUAAAUGCAGCGAAGCGCCCGUCUUGAAGAAGCCGUGCCUGUGUUGUCAUUUCGGAGUUACAGCUGUGCUUUCGGCAAAGACGAAACAGCCAGGUCGCUGGACUCGCCACUCCUGUGUCAGCGAAGAGCAGGCACACUUUGCUCCCUCUCCCCCACUCUUAUGUUUCAGUGUCGCGCUGUCAUGUCAUGUGACUUAGACACUUUGGGGGUUUUUAAGUUGUUUACAUACUGUAUUAAUUAUAUUUUUACCAGUUGUUUCUGUUGUUGAGAAUUUUAAUUGUAAUUUUUGUAUUAUAGUUUAUCAACAGUAUGUCACGAUCCUGGGUCUUAUGACCCAGCGCUUUGAGUUUUAGUUUAUUUUGAUGUUUAUAGUAUAUGGUUAAGCUCAUUAGGUUUUCUAGUUCAUUUGUUAUUAGAUUCCCCUUGUGUCGUCCAACCCCUGUUAAGUCUCCCCUGCCCUUCAUGUGUUUCAUGUCUGCGUCUCAUGUUUCCUGUUUUAUUUUGAAGAGAUCUUGUGUUCCUGUGUUCAUCGUGUUUAGUUUUACUCUUCCACUGAGGUCGUUAUGUUCAUGUGUGUCAGCUGUUCCCCCAUGUGUUCCCACUUCUCUCAUUAGCCUCCUGUGUGUAUUUAGUCUGUGCCUUCUCAUUCAGUCUUUGUCGGAUCGUCUGUGUUAUUCCCAGGCCAUGUCCUGUGUUCAGGUUUUCAUAUAUCCUCCUCAUCAUUGCCAUGUUUAGAGUUUUGUUUGUGUUUCUGUUUGCCAGGGUUUUCAUAGUUUGUGCUUCCUUUCUAUUUUAACCAGUUUAGGUUAUUGCUUAGUUUGAAUUGUUUUUGCCCUUUUAUUUUGUACUUUCCUGUCUGCCUGAAUAAACACCUAAUCAUCAGUUAA